AUGUGUUGCAGCCUUGCAGGUCGCUGUCGUGGACAGUUGGCUGCUGGAGGUCGUGUUCAGGGAAGAGAACGAGCAGAAGAAGAUUGGGAAAGAGAGGGAGGAGGGGAAGACAAUGAGACCAUGAUCGAUCGCAGAGAUUGUGCGGCACGUCCGGUGUGGCGCGAACCCGCGUCUACGAGUGAUCGUCGUCAAGAAGCAAGGAAAAUGUGGCGUGCCUGUGGCCUUGAGGAACUCCGGCUGAUGCUCCUUACAUGUCCUACUCCGCGUCAGCUGCUAGAAGCCUUGUUCUCUCUGCCUGAAGAUGAAAAGUUAAAGUGUAUUCUUCUACUAUGGCUGUGGUGGACUGAGCGGAAUAAAGCUAAUCAUAAACAGACCCGGGCGUCAGUAGAAGAAUUUCAAUUUCUAAUGACCAGGCAUGUAGCCGAAUGGCGCCAGUUCUGUAUGAAGCCGGAAAGCAAACAACAGCAGGUGUUCAGAAAACCAGUGUGGAAAGGGACAGAGGUGGAUACAGUGAAGAUUAAUAUUGAUGGAGCCUUUGACGGUUCCAAUCAGCUUGCAGGCUGGGGCUGCAUUGCGCGUGACCAUACAGGAGAUGUCAUUUUUGCCGCUGCGGUAAAACUUGACUAUAUGAGUGAGGCUUUGCAUGCUGAGGCGUACGCCCUUAUCAGGGGUAUCCAGCUGGCUGGAAACUAUGGGAUGGGUAAGGUUGUUUUUGAGACUGACUGCCUGGGUCUGGUCCGAGCUAUGAAAUCAAAAAUGUUCGAUCGGUCGCCUCUUGGUGUUGUUUUCCGGGAGACAAGGUUUCUUCUUCAGUUGGGUAUUAGUGAAUGGAGUAUUAUCCACUGUCCCCGCACUUGUAAUGUUCCAGCUCAUGAGCUGGCAGCUAUAGGGAGAAGUGGUGCUUAUGGUGACCAGCAUGUAUGGUUGGCUCACCUCCCAUCCGUUGUAAACGUUGCUGUGGCCGCUGAUGUAGUCGGCCAGCCUUAA
rnacentral:rRNA from 1 species